rnacentral:lncRNA from 1 species
CUGACGUGGUGGCGUCUCCGGCUGGGGCCAGACUCGCUCGGGUUUCUUCCUGCUGGGGGGCUUGCGGGGUUUCUGCUGCCGCCGAAUGUACUCGACUGGGGACAGGGGGGGGCAAUGACUGAGGGGGUGCGAGGCGGAGGGGAAGGGGGGGACGCGUCUGUGUGUGUCCCCCCCCCCAGCCAUCCCAGGGGACCCCAUCGGUCCCCGCCUGCCCCCCCCGGCACCGUACAGUCCUCGUAGUCCUCCCGCUCCAGCUGCUCGUUGUAGUCCAGCGUCGGCGGCUCCGGCUCCGCGGGGACCUCUGCGGGGGGGACACGGGGACGUGGGACACGGGGGGGUGGCACCGGGGUGACAGGGGGAGGUGGCACAGGGAUGCUGGGGUGGCAUCGGGAGGCAGGGAGGUGGCAGCAGGGCAAGGGGAGGUGGUGACAGGACGUGGGGUGGUGGCACUGGGAUGCUGGGGUGACACUGGGACACGGGGAGGUGGCACUGGGAAGCAGGGGACAGCACUGGGAUGGAGGGAGGUGGCACCAGAGGGGUGGCACUGGGACACAGCAAGAGGACGCGGGGGGACAGGGGGUGGCACUGGGAUGCCAGGAGGUGGCAGCAGGUCACUGGGAGAUGACGGAGGGGACCAGGGAGUGGCACUGGGGACACAGGGAGGGGGCACUGGGGGUCAGAGGGUGGCACUGGGAUGCCGGGAGGUGGCAGCAGGUCACUGGGACAUGACACAGGGAUCAGAAUGGUGGCAGUGGGGACACAGGGAGGGGUUACUGGGGAUCAGAGGGUGGCACUGGGAUGCCGGGGUGUGGCACUGGGAUGCCAGGAGGUGGCACUGGGACGCAGCGGGUGGCCUGGGGCUCUCACCAGCCUCGGGAGGGGGGUGCCAGUCCUCCCCCCCCAGCUCCCAGCGCUCCGUCGGCAGCUCCUCCAGCCCGCCUGGGGACAGGGACACGCAGAGGGGGGGGCAGCGCUGGCGUCCCCAGCCCACCCCCAGCCCCCCCCCCCCAGCAAGGGGACCCCAGGGAGGAAGGAGACGGGGGACAAGGGGCAGGAUGGGGGUGGCCCCGGCCACACCAUGCGCCCCCCCCCCCGGGGGACAAAGCAGUGGGGAGCCGAGGGGACGCGGUGACAAGCGCUCAGCACAGGACGGGACCCCCGGUGUCCCCCCGCUCACCUCGGUCUCUGCCAUCCUCCUCCUCCUCCUCAGGGACCCGCGGCUGCCCUGGGGACAGGGACGUCCCCUCUCUGUCCUCGCCCCGCGGGGGGUGCGGGGCCACGGGGGGCUCCCAGGGGGUGUCCGGUGGCUCCGGGGGCCUCGUGCCCGAGGGCUUCUUGGUGGCCUUGGGUGGCUUCUCCUUGGGUGGCUUCUCCUUGGGCGGCUUCUCCUUGGGCUUCUUGGGGGGCUUGUCCCCGUCCUUGCUCUUGUCCCUGCUCUUGUCCCGCUCCUUGUCCCUGUCCCUGUCCUUGUCCUUUUUGGAGCCCCGUGCUCUCUCCUUGGGCUUUUUGGUGGGUUUUGGGGCUUUUUCCUUCCGGCCCUUCUUGGGUGCCUCGGGCUCCGGCAGCCGCCCCGGAGGGUCUGGGGGGGGCCGGGUCGUGUCGGGGGGAGUGGGUAGGGACAGGACAGCCCCGGCCGGGCACUCCCAACCCAGCACCCCCAGCCCAGCACCCCCCAGUGCCCCCCAUCACUGCGCCCCCCGUGCCUCCCCCUCCCCAAUCCCUCCCCAAUCCCGCUCCCUCCCGGUACCGGGCAGCCCCAGCAGCCCCCCCCCUCACCGGUGCUCAGCCCGGUGCCGGUGCCCUGCUCGGUGGCGAAGCCCGGCUCGGUGCCAUCCCCGUCCCCGUCCCCGUCGCCGUCGCCGUCGCGGUCCCCGUCGGGCCCGAGGAAGCCCCUGAGGAACGCCUCGAUCUCGGCGUCGGUGAGCGCGGGCGCGGCGGGGUCCGGGGCGGCCCCGGGCAGCGGCAGCAGCAGCGCGGCCGCCAGCAGGAGGCAGGAACGGGGCGGCCCCGACAGCGCCAUCGCCGCCGCCGCCGCCGCCGAGCACCGGCACGGCCCCGCCGAGCACCGGGGGAGGGCAGGGGAGGGGCGGGGGCGGGCUGGGGGCGGCACCGGGAGGGGAUUUGGGGAGGGUUGGGGGGGGGGGCGGGAACGGCACCGGCACCGCGUUGGCACCGCGUUGGCACGGGGAUGGCACCGGCACCGGCACCGCGUUGGCAUCACCUUGGCACGGGAAUGGCACCGGCACCGCGUUGGCACGGCACAGCAUGGCACGGGAAUGGCAACAGCACCUCGUUGGCACUGAGUUGGCACUGCGUUGGCACGGCACCGGCACCGUGUUGGCAUCACCUUGGCACGGGAACGGCACCGGCACCGCGCUGGGACGGCACGGCACCACACCGGCACCACACAGCACCAGCACGGAGUUGGCACCGCAUUGGCACGGCACUGGCACUGUGUGGCACCGGCACUGGCACUGCGUGGGCACGGCACUGCUUUGGCUCCGCACGGCACCGGCACCGGCACCGUAUUGGCACCUCCUGGCCCCACAGCCGGCACUCACACCGUUGGCACGGCAUGGCACUGGCACCACGCAGGAGCCGUGCUGCCUCGGCACCGGUGUUGGCACCGUGCAGCACCAGCACCGGUUGGCCCUGGCACUGCCUCGGCACCAGCUCUGUGCAGGAACCAGCGCGGCACCGGCACGGGACCCAGCACCGGCACCGCACGGGCACGGCACGGCCACGCCAAGGCCACCGAGCGUGUGGCACCGGGCUGUCCCCGUCACCCAGAGCCACUUCGGACAGGCCUCACGGCACCGCGUGCCCCGUUCCUACCGGCCCAGCACCGCGCCAGGCCCCGGCAGGAUCCCGCAGGCUCCCCGGGCCCCACGGUGAC